AAUGCACCAAUUUGUAAGUCGCUCUCUAUAAGAGCGUCUGCUAAAUGACGUAAA
rfam:Salmo salar isolate Sally breed double haploid chromosome ssa25, whole genome shotgun sequence.